UGCCAGACUCCUACGGGAGGCAGCAGUGGGGAAUAUUGCACAAUGGGGGAAACCCUGAUGCAGCGACGCCGCGUGAGUGAAGAAGUAUUUCGGUAUGUAAAGCUCUAUCAGCAGGGAAGAAAAUGACGGUACCUGACUAAGAAGCCCCGGCUAACUACGUGCCAGCAGCCGCGGUAAUACGUAGGGGGCAAGCGUUAUCCGGAUUUACUGGGUGUAAAGGGAGCGUAGACGGCAUGGCAAGUCAGAUGUGAAAGCCCGGGGCUCAACCCCGGGACUGCUCUUGGAACUGCGUGGCUGGAGUGCAGGAGGGGCAGGCGGAAUUCCUGGUGUAGCGGUGAAAUGCGUAGAUAUCAGGAGGAACACCGGUGGCGAAGGCGGCCUGCUGGACUGCAACUGACGUUGAGGCCCGAAAGCGUGGGGAGCAAACAGGAUUAGAUACCCGUGUAC
rnacentral:rRNA from 1 species